rnacentral:lncRNA from 1 species
GCCAUCAUUAAUGAUUGCGUUGAUUUCUUCGAUAGCGAUGUCAUCUGUGCCAACAUUAAAUUUUACUCCAAUUUUUCCUUGGUGAAUAUGCAGCUCUAAAUAGUCUCCAAGCCCAGUAGAACUGUCCACUCGUACCAACACAGCUUCUUUUUGAACAGUACUAAACCCUAUAGCCAAUCUGUCUGCGCGAGUGCUUGGGCGGUCAUUCGGAGGCCACGUGUAAGUGAUUUGUCCACCACCUUUGCUAAAG